UGCAGACCACGUCUAAGACUUGUUGUGACAACAGGGCGCCUCUUCAGCCCCAGCGAUCUAGCACCACCGCCACCAGGAGGUCACUGUCGUCUGAUUUGACAUGGAAACAACUUAAUAAGUCACUCGCCUCUGAAGCUAAAGAAGACCAUGAGUUUAUCCAUAUCAGUCUGUGCACAUGUUUGUGAUCAGACCAUCAGAGGAUGUAGAAGAGGACUAACCUGCAGACCGCAUGGAAGAAGCAUCUACAAGCCCACCGAUAUGGCACUACCGCUGUUGUGGCAAUGUCAUGUCUCUACAGCUAUCGCCUCACGCCUUUCUUCAUGUGGAUAGCAACAACAUUUGGAUCAUCUGCAACAAAAGUCUUCG
rnacentral:lncRNA from 1 species